UACGUAGGGUGCAAGCGUUAAUCGGAAUUACUGGGCGUAAAGCGUGCGCAGGCGGUUUUGUAAGUCUGUCGUGAAAGCCCCGGGCUUAACCUGGGAAUUGCGAUGGAGACUGCAAGGCUUGAAUCUGGCAGAGGGGGGUAGAAUUCCACGUGUAGCAGUGAAAUGCGUAGAGAUGUGGAGGAACACCGAUGGCGAAGGCAGCCCCCUGGGGUCAAGAUUGACGCUCAUGCACGAAAGCGUGGGGAGCAA
rnacentral:rRNA from 1 species